rnacentral:rRNA from 1 species
AUUGAACGCUGGCGGCAUGCCUUACACAUGCAAGUCGAACGGCAGCGGACCUUCGGGUGCCGGCGAGUGGCGAACGGGUGAGUAAUAUAUCGGAACGUACCUUUCAGUGGGGGAGUAACGUAGCGAAAGUUAACGCUAAUACCGCAUAUUCUGUGAGCAGGAAAGCAGGGGAUCGCAAGACCUUGCGCUGAUUGAGCGGCCGAUAUCAGAUUAGCUAGUUGGUGAGGUAAAGGCUCACCAAGGCGACGAUCUGUAGCGGGUCGUGAGAGGAUGAUCCGCCACACUGGAACUGAGACACGGUCCAGACUCCUACGGGAGGCAGCAGU